CCUACGGGAGGCAGCAGUAGGGAAUCUUCCACAAUGGGCGAAAGCCUGAUGGAGCAACGCCGCGUGGGUGAAGAAGGUCUUCUGAGCGUAAAACUCUGUUGUUGGAGAAGAAAGUUCGUGAGAGUAACUGUUCACGUUUCGACGGUAUCUAACCAGAAAGCCACGUCUAACUACAUGCCCGCAGCCGCGGUAAUACGUCGGUGGCAAGCGUUAUCCGGAUUUAUUGGGCGGAAGGGGAACGCAGGCGGUCUUUUAAGUCUGAUGUGAACGCCUGCGGCUUAACCGGAGUAGUGCAUCGGAAACUGGGAGACUUGAGUGCAGAAGAGGUGAGCGGAACUCGAUGUGUAGCGGUGAAAUGCUUAGAUAUAUGGAAGAACACCAGUGGCGAAGGCGGCUCUCUGGUCCGUAACUGACGCUGAGGUUCGAAAGCGUGGGUAUCAAACAGGAUUAGAUACCCGGGUAGUC
rnacentral:rRNA from 1 species